CCUACGGGAGGCAGCAGUGAGGAAUAUUGGUCAAUGGGCUUACGCCUGAACCAGCCAAGUCGCGUGAGGGAAGACUGCCCUAUGGGUUGUAAACCUCUUUUGUCAGGGAGCAAUUGGCGCUACGUGUAGCGUUAUCGAGAGUACCUGAAGAAAAAGCAUCGGCUAACUCCGUGCCAGCAGCCGCGGUAAUACGGAGGAUGCGAGCGUUAUCCGGAUUUAUUGGGUUAAAAGGGUGCGUAGGCGGAAUGCCAAGUCAGCGGUAAAAUCGCGGGGCUCAACCUCGCUCCGCCGUUGAACCUGGCGUGCUUGAGUGGGCGAGAAGUAGGCGGAAUGCGUGGUGUAGCGGUGAAAUGCAUAGAUAUAACGCAGAACUCCGAUUGCGAAGGCAGCAUACCGGCGCCCAACUGACGCUGAAGCACGAAAGCGUGGGUAUCGAACAGGAUUAGAUACCCGUGUAGUC
rnacentral:rRNA from 1 species